CCAAAUAUUCAGUUAUAUCAAUUUAGUCCAUACUCCUCAAUGCCUCUGCUUGUAACUCUGACUGCAGGUGUCACUGUGCCUUCUCACAGAGUUUGUACAUCUUUCUUACAUGGUCUGCCCACCCUUGGCAUCAGGCUAAUCUCUUUCAGCUAUCCAAGAGGAACAGAUUUCCAGGUCCAGCCUACAUUCAAAGAGAAUGGAUUUCGCAACAGUGACUGGAAUGCAGACAAACUGGCAUAAGAAAAGGAGAAGUAACACAAAGAAAUCCAUGUACAACUGGAAAGGAAGUUUGAUGAAACUGUGAGCAGUGUGUCUGAUCAGUCUCUCUGAUGCUCAUCACUCAUCUGACUACCACCCAACCCGAGAAAAAUAGAGCCAGGUGUGUCACUCUUUUGACCACUUCUCAACCCCAGAAACAAAGAGCCAGGUGUGGUGGCUCACAUUUGUCACCUUGCUACUCAGAAGACUGUAGCAGGAAGAUUGACUUUAGAUUGAUUCCACCCUGGGAUAGAAUUCAGUCAUUGGUGGGACUGAAUUAUACAGUGAAACUAUUUCUCAGAACUUUCACAGAAAUAAAGGAACAAAAGAAGGAAGGGAAGGAGAGAGAGAGGGAGGAGGGAGGGAAGCAGGGAGGCAGGGAGGGAGGAAGGCAGGCCAACAGAGCAGAACCCAAA